rnacentral:rRNA from 1 species
GAUGAACGCUGGCGGCGUGCCUAAUACAUGCAAGUCGAGCGAACAGACGUGUAUCUUGCUGCUCUCACGUUAGCGGCGGAUGAGUGAGUGACCCGUGGAUAACCUCCCUAUAUGACUGGGAUAACUACUGGAACCCGGAGCUAAUACCAGAUAAUAUAUUCAACCGCAUGGUUCACUAGUGAAUGACGGUUUUGCUGUCACUUAUAGAUGUUUCCGCGCCGCAUUUGCUAGUUGGUAAGGUAACGGCUUACCACGACAACGAUGCGUAGCCGACCUGAGAGGUGGAUCGGACACGCUGGGACUGAGACACGGUCCAGACUCCUACGGGAGGCAGCAGUAGGGAAUUUUCCGCAAUGGGCGAAAGCCUGACGGAGCAACGCCGCGUGGGUGAUGAAGGUCUUCGGAUCGUAAAACACUGUUAUUAGGGAAGAACAAAUGUGUAAGUAACUAUGCACGUCUUGACGGUACCUAAUCAGAAAGCAACGGCUAACUACGUG